GACGAACGCUGGCGGCGUGCUUAACACAUGCAAGUCGAACGGAAAGGCCCUGCUUUUGUGGGGUGCUCGAGUGGCGAACGGGUGAGUAACACGUGAGUAACCUGCCCUUGACUUUGGGAUAACUUCAGGAAACUGGGGCUAAUACCGGAUAGGAGCUCCUGCUGCAUGGUGGGGGUUGGAAAGUUUCGGCGGUUGGGGAUGGACUCGCGGCUUAUCAGCUUGUUGGUGAGGUAGUGGCUUACCAAGGCUUUGACGGGUAGCCGGCCUGAGAGGGUGACCGGCCACAUGGGGACUGAGGUACGGCCCAGACUCCUACGGGAGGCAGCAGUGGGGAAUAUUGCACAAUGGGCGGAAGCCUGAUGCAGCAACGCCGCGUGCGGGAUGACGGCCUUCGGGUUGUAAACCGCUUUCGCCUGUGACGAAGCGUGAGUGACGGUAAUGGGUAAAGAAGCACCGGCUAACUACGUG
rnacentral:rRNA from 1 species